rnacentral:misc_RNA from 1 species
AUGAAUUUCACAUUAAUUUGGAAGGAAAAAAAAAUUAUUUAGCUGGACUUAAAACAUAAACAUAUAGACAUUUGACAUUUAUGUUACAAGUAAAUUUAACUAUACAUGUUGUUUUGGAUUCGAUGGAUGAGUGUGGGCAACAUUUUUUCAUUUGGAUUCCAUUUAAUUCAAACAAUAUAGGAAAAACAAAAAAGUCUAGCUAUAAUCUACAGAGUACAGAGCCACCCAACUUUUGCAGAAUUCAUAUCUUAUGAUCAUCAUUCUCUCAUGAUCUUCUUAGGUAUUGCUUUUACUGGUGUAAGCUUUCGGACUGUUAUUCCCAGUUUUUCCUUCAUGUCUAUGGCCUUUGGAGUAGAAUUGCUGCUAAGCUCCCAGUCAAAACAGUGAAGCAGGGAGGCUAGAACAAGGUGAAGUAUAAGGCGAGCCAUUGGGAUGCCAGCGCAAAUUCGUCUUCCAGAUCCGAAAGGGAUAAACUCAAAGUUUUGCCCCCAAUAGUCAAUAUUGGAGCCUAGAAAUCUCUCCGGCUUAAAAGACAUGGGAUCUUUCCAUGUAUCUGGGUCUCUUCCUAUUGCCCA